rnacentral:lncRNA from 1 species
AGUCCUUCGCCGUCCCUCGCCGUCCUUCGCCAUCGCACGCCACCGCACCCCAUCUCUCGAAAUCUGCAGACAUCUUGAUUUUUCCCACGCUGUCUGUCAGGUCUCCGCCGCCACUCGACGCCAGGGCGCCGGGCCUUGUGGGCUGUGCUGCACCUCGGACGGCUUCGCACCAGCCAGCGCCCUCUCUCUCCUGCAGCACUCUGAUCUGCACCCCCUGAGGGGCUUCCACUGUCCGCGGGGUGAGAAUGCCCCUGGGAGUGUCACAUGACUGCCGCCCCAUGUGUGUGAGAGGCGUCCUCUGGGAGAGCAUGGAUCCUGAGGUCCCAGGAUUGUCAGCUGACCUCUGUCCUGUGUGCCCAGUGGCCCCAGGUGACGUGUCUUCAAGAAGAGGCUGAGCUGCGGUGCUUGUAAGGGUCUCAUUCUGUCACCCAGGCUGGAGUGCAGUGGUGCAAUGAUGGCUCACUGCAGCCUCGACCUGGGCUCAAGUGAUCCUCCACCUCAGCUUCCUGAGUAGCUGGGACCACAGAUGGGUCUGCUGUGUGCAGAGGCUCCAUGGGAUGUGUUGUCUUCAUAGUAGCAGGGCGCUGGACCAUGGGUCCGCAAGGUCUCAGCCUUAGAUCCAAGGACAGUCCAAGGAAGUCCUAAGACCAUGGAGUUGGUGAUCUGGGAUCUGGGUUUGCUGAUAUUUCUCACCGUGAAUCUCUUGGUGGUGUUUGUGGGCACGAGAGGGGCAGAGAAUGGAGAGUGAGGCUACCACAUGAAGCGUCACCAGAGCUGCUCCCUGCUGCCUGCUCAGAGCACCCCGGAUCCACUGUUCAAUCUGCACAAGAUUCGGGGUCCAGACAUGGGAGACUUCAGCUGCCUCAGAGGACCGUGGACAGGGAAGGCCAGCCUCGCAUCCCUCUGUCCAUGCCUGGAAUGACUUUAAUAACCAAGAGUUUUAUUUUUGAAUUUGUAGCUGUCGUUCACUUUUUACCCACCCAUUCAAUAAACCUUACAGAAUUGCUCCA